UUAACAAAACCAAAAACAGUAAUUCUAGGUUUUGACUCAGAAAAUUCAUAUAUGCUUCCUUACUAAUGAAACUUUCUAUACAACAAAGUGAGGUCAUUCUUUGUUGAUUUAUACCAUAAGGUGCUGGCUAUCAUGUGUUUGAAGAUACCCUAAACUUAACCUAACAUAACCUAACAAAACCCCAAACAGUAACUCUAGGUCUUGACUCAGAAAAUUCAUAUAUGCUUCCUUACUAAUGAGACUUUCUAUACAACAAAGUGAGGUCAUUCUUUGUUGAUUUAUACCAUAAGGUGUUGGCUAUCAUGUGUUUGAAGAUACCCUAAACUUAACCUAACAUAACCUAACAAAACCCCAAACAGUAACUCUAGGUCUUGACUCAGAAAAUUCAUAUAUGCUUCCUUACUAAUGAGACUUUCUAUACAACAAAGUGAGGUCAUUCUUUGUUGAUUUAUACCAUAAGGUGUUGGCUAUCAUGUGUUUGAAGAUACCCUAAACUUAACCUAACAAAACCCCAAACAGUAACUCUAGGUCUUGACUCAGAAAAUUCAUAUAUGCUUCCUUACUAAUGAGACUUUCUAUACAACAAAGUGAGGUCAUUCUUUGUUGAUUUAUACCAUAAGGUGCUGGCUAUCAUGUGUUUGAAGAUACCCUAAACUUAACCUAACAUAACCUAACAAAACCCCAAACAGUAACUCUAGGUCUUGACUCAGAAAAUUCAUUUAUGCUUCCUUACUAAUGAAACUUUCUAUACAACAAAGUGAGGUCAUUCUUUGUUGAUUUAUACCAUAAGGUGUUGGCUAUCAUGUGUUUGAAGAUACCCUAAACUUAACCUAACAAAACCCCAAACAGUAACUCUAGGUCUUGACUCAGAAAAUUCAUAUAUGCUUCCUUACUAAUGAGACUUUCUAUACAACAAAGUGAGGUCAUUCUUUGUUGAUUUAUACCAUAAGGUGCUGGCUAUCAUGUGUUUGAAGAUACCCUAAACUUAACAUAACAAAACCCCAAACAGUAACUCUAGGUCUUGACUCAGAAAAUUCAUAUAUGCUUCCUUACUAAUGAAACUUUCUAUACAACAAAGUGAGGUCAUUCUUUGUUGAUUUAUACCAUAAGGUGCUGGCUAUCAUGUGUUUGAAGAUACCCUAAACUUAACCUAACAUAACCUAACAAAACCCCAAACAGUAACUCUAGGUCUUGACUCAGAAAAUUCAUAUAUGCUUCCUUACUAAUGAGACUUUCUAUACAACAAAGUGAGGUCAUUCUUUGUUGAUUUAUACCAUAAGGUGCUGGCUAUCAUGUGUUUGAAGAUACCCUAAACUUAACCUAACAUAACCUAACAAAACCCCAAACAGUAACUCUAGGUCUUGACUCAGAAAAUUCAUAUAUGCUUCCUUACUAAUGAGACUUUCUAUACAACAAAGUGAGGUCAUUCUUUGUUGAUUUAUACCAUAAGGUGCUGGCUAUCAUGUGUUUGAAGAUACCCUAAACUUAACCUAACAUAACCUAACAAAACCCCAAACAGUAACUCUAGGUCUUGACUCAGAAAAUUCAUAUAUGCUUCCUUACUAAUGAGACUUUCUAUACAACAAAGUGAGGUCAUUCUUUGUUGAUUUAUACCAUAAGGUGCUGGCUAUCAUGUGUUUGAAGAUACCCUAAACUUAACCUAACAUAACCUAACAAAACCCCAAACAGUAACUCUAGGUCUUGACUCAGAAAAUUCAUUUAUGCUUCCUUACUAAUGAAACUUUCUAUACAACAAAGUGAGGUCAUUCUUUGUUGAUUUAUACCAUAAGGUGCUGGCUAUCAUGUGUUUGAAGAUAUCCUAAACUUAACCUAACAUAACCUAACAAAACCCCAAACAGUAACUCUAGGUCUUGACUCAGAAAAUUCAUAUAUGCUUCCUUACUAAUGAGACUUUCUAUACAACAAAGUGAGGUCAUUCUUUGUUGAUUUAUACCAUAAGGUGCUGGCUAUCAUGUGUUUGAAGAUACCCUAAACUUAACCUAACAUAACCUAACAAAAUCCCAAACAGUAACUCUAGGUCUUGACUCAGAAAAUUCAUAUUUGCUUCCUUACUAAUGAAACUUUCUGUACAACAAAGUGAGGUCAUUCUUUGUUGAUUUAUACCAUAAGGUGCUGGUUAUCAUGUGUUUGAAGAUACCCUAAACUUAACCAAACAAAACCCUAAACAUUAACUCUAGGUCUUGACUCAAAAAAUUCAUAUAUGCUUCCUUACUAAUGAGACUUUCUAUACAACAAAGUGAGGUCAUUCUUUGUUGAUUUAUACCAUAAAGUGCUGGCUAUCAUGUGUUUGAAGAUACCCUAAACUUAACCUAACAAAACCCCAAACAGUAACUCUAGGUCUUGACUCAGAAAAUUCAUUUAUGCUUCCUUACUAAUGAAACUUUCUAUACAACAAAGUGAGGUCAUUCUUUGUUGAUUUAUACCAUAAGGUGCUGGCUAUCAUGUGUUUGAAGAUACCCUAAACUUAACCUAACAAAACCCCAAACAGUAACUCUAGGUCUUGACUCAGAAAAUUCAUACAUGCUUCCUUACUAAUGAAACUUUCUGUACAACAAAGUGAGGUCAUUCUUUGUUGAUUUAUACCAUAGGGUGUUGGCUAUCAUGUGUUUGAAGAUACCCUAAACUUAACCUAACAUAGCCUAACAAAACCCCAAACAGUAG